UACGAAGGGUGCAAGCGUUACUCGGAAUCACUGGGCGUAAAGCGUGCGUAGGCGGUUGGUUAAGUCUGCUGUGAAAGCCCUGGGCUCAACCUGGGAACUGCAGUGGAUACUGGCCAGCUAGAGUGUGAUAGAGGAUGGUGGAAUUCCCGGUGUAGCGGUGAAAUGCGUAGAUAUCAGGAAGAACACCCGUGGCGAAGGCGGCUCUCUGGGACGGUACUGACGCUGAGACGCGAAAGCGUGGGGAGCGA
rnacentral:rRNA from 1 species